rnacentral:tRNA from 1 species
GAGAGAGGCCCCAAGCAAUAAAGACUGCUAAUCCCUGUCUCCGCGGUUAAACUCCGCGGCUCACUCA